GCUCAGAAGGCUGCCUAGACACAAACCAUGCAUGCACAGCCAGCAUAAUUGAAAGCAGCUGCCCAGGCUCAGCUGCUCACGAAGCCCAGCUACACAAGGGACUUGCUGAAAUUUCAAUGAAGGUUAGCGGACAAAGGCAGGCUUCAGUACAGUAGGAAGGAACUGAGAUGAUUAGAGGGUGAGUCAACCAAGGUGCUCACGAAGAAAUGCCUGGGGAUCUCUACAUGAUACACUCUACUCAGCCAAGCUUCCUGUCUGCAAGAGAGUUCCACCUUUCCUUCAUGCACUAAUGCCAUCAUGGAACUGAAUUCUAAUGGGACAGUUUGACUAUGGAGGCCAAGAACCUCAAAACACCUGAAGCAGACCCUGACCACCAGUAAUAUACAACGCAAGGACAGUAAAAAUGGAGCCAAAGACCUGUUAAAGUGGCAUUGUAACAUAGAAGCAGACCCUCUGGAAAAAAGGAAAGUCUUUACAUCCAUCCUCUCACAGCCUGCCCAUUACACAGUUUAACGUGAAGACAUGACAGACAUGGAGAGAUCUCUGCCUUGAUGGGCUUCAUUGAUGGAUUUUCCUUCCUCUGAUCUUUAUUCAAUGACUGCAUGUCUUCCAUUAGAGAAACUGAAAUGAAUAACUCAUUUACAUUAAGUUAUUUGAAUCCAUUGUCUUAUUCAUUCUAAUGCUAUUUUUUUCAUUACCAAGGAGAAAUGCUUAAAAUAAAGAACUCUCCCCUCGGGGCAGGAUUUUAAACAUGGCAAAUGGGUGAACUACCGAAGAGCAUACGUACCCUCCAUCACUGCCAGGAGACACUGAGGGUCAUCAAGCUUUCAGAGACACUGAGAAGACAAUGUCAUUUUGUCAGGAAGAUCAGUCACGGAUGGCACUUGUCCUCUUCCAUCUGGAAACUUCUUUGUGAAGUAAAGUGUUGCAGCAGCCUGCGCUCUCAGCUCCCGGAUCCUGUAAGGCAAAGACAGAAUGGGGCAUCCAGUCUGCCCGGAGGAAGCGUCUUCCAAACAGUUUACAAUGAGGAAAUUGGCGUAUAAGAAUUUCGCUACCUCCCACGCUUUCGCUUGUUUACUUGGUUCUGGAGAACUUCUCUAGUCAUCCUUUGGCCAGCCUGCACUGUGGCUUCCCAGAAGAACACAGGCAGAGCUGUCAGUUAAUCAAAAAUAAAUAGAUAAACAAA